rnacentral:lncRNA from 1 species
GGGGUACUGGCAGCACAGAUGACUUGUAGUUAGAGACCUGCCCACACCUUCCACCUGACCUGCACCUGAGGCUAAGAUGCCAAGUAGUUGGGGAAAUAUGUCAGUGCACUGUUUAGGGCAGAUGUUGGUCCAAGGAGAGGGGUCUGGGUACACCCUCCCAGCACCAGAACGAGGCCCAGGACUGGGGGAGGAUUCUGAGCACAGCCUGUCCAGGGACCAUUCUCCUAGCUCCUAGCUGCCCAACCAACCCCUCAUGGACCCAUGCCAAACUGGAUGAAGAGAGGAGCCUGUAAUGAAUGGAAAAGAACAGUGAUGAACAGAACUGAGUGUUAGAGAUGCUGAAAGAGAUCAAGUUACCUGGUCACUCUGCCUCCUUGCCUAAUAAACAGGGCUUGAGGCUGGUGGCUUUGGCCCCUUAAAGCCCACUCCACUUGCCAUGCUUCAUAUGCCUAGAGCGCUAAACCAAUGUUUGGUUAGUUCGGAGCUCAGUCCCUCUCAUACUGGAUCUCUUCCAGCUCACACUCACUCUCAUCUUCCUGGCCAGGACUCAGCAAUACAUUUAGCCAGUUCUUAACUCAACCUAUUAGUCUUGAAUCUACUGGAGUCCUCGUGCCUCUGCCUGGAGGAAAGUGUGCAGGAGGAAGGAACAUAUUAUUUUCCAGCUCAAAGACGCUCUGGGCAGAGAAGUGACUGGGCCUUCAUAAGGUACUCAAUGGAGGCCAACCUGCAAUCAGGAGGGUGAUGCCUGAUCCUAACCAAGCCUGGAGGGAAAGCAGCUCCCAUUCCAGAAUGCCUCCCGAGGGUAGCAGCAUUUUCACAUCUGCACUUUUCUCAUGAAAGGGCGAGGAAGAAGAAACAGAACUCUCUGCGGAAACACCCACCAUGCCCCAUCCAGUGUUGUGUGGCUGCCUUGCACCAUUCUCUCCUUUGAGAGAAUUAAAAUUCUCUUUGAAAUUAAAAAUGAUGUUUACUGGAAACUUCUGCUGUUCAGAAGCAAAACAUGUCCAUUGUUGAAAAACCAAAAACCUCCACUGAUGUUGCCAUCCAGAAACAAUCACCGCAGACACUUUGGUGUAUGUAUUUUUAGAACUUCCUCUCUCUCUCUCUUUCAUCCUCUCUAACCAAACUUGGAUAAUAUUAUGUGCACAUAUAUUGAAUUUCUUUUCAAUACAUUAA